rnacentral:rRNA from 1 species
GAAUUCGCCCUUAGAGUUUGAUCCUGGCUCAGGACGAACGCUGGCGGCGUGCUUAACACAUGCAAGUCGAACGAGGUAAUGCCUUCGGGUGUUAUCGAGUGGCGGACGGGUGAGUAACGCGUGAACAAUCUGUCCUGCAAAGGGGGAUACCAACUGGAAACAGUUGCUAAUACCGCAUGGGACCACGAUCUCGCAUGGGAUUGGGGUGAAAGCAGCGAUGCGAUGCAGGGUGAGUUCGCGUCCGAUUAGGCAGUUGGUGAGGUAACGGCCCACCAAACCGACGAUCGGUAGCCGACCUGAGAGGGUGAUCGGCCACAUUGGGACUGAGACACGGCCCAGACUCCUACGGGAGGCAGCAGUGGGGAAUAUUGGGCAAUGGGCGGAAGCCUGACCCAGCAACGCCGCGUGAGGGAAGAAGGUUUUCGGAUUGUAAACCUCUGUCCUUGGUGACGAAAAGAUGACGGUAGCCAAGGAGGAAGCCCCGGCUAACUACGUGCCAGCAGCCGCGGUAAUACGUAGGGGGCGAGCGUUGUCCGGAAUGACUGGGCGUAAAGGGCGUGUAGGCGGCGCUGUAAGUCCGGAGUGAAAGUCCUGCUUUCAAGGUGGGAAUUGCUUUGGAGACUGCAGAGCUUGAGUACGGAAGAGGUAAGUGGAAUUCCCGGUGUAGCGGUGAAAUGCGUAGAGAUCGGGAGGAACACCAGUGGCGAAGGCGACUUACUGGGCCGUAACUGACGCUGAGGCGCGAAAGCGUGGGGAGCGAACAGGAUUAGAUACCCUGGUAGUCCACGCGGUAAACGAUGAAUGCUAGGUGUAGGGGGUAUCGACCCCUCCUGCGCCGGAGUCAACACAAUAAGCAUUCCGCCUGGGGAGUACGGCCGCAAGGU